rnacentral:rRNA from 1 species
GUCUUCGGACGCUGACGAGUGGCGAACGGGUGAGUAAUACAUCGGAACGUGCCCAGUCGUGGGGGAUAACUACUCGAAAGAGUAGCUAAUACCGCAUACGAUCUGAGGAUGAAAGCGGGGGACCUUCGGGCCUCGCGCGAUUGGAGCGGCCGAUGGCAGAUUAGGUAGUUGGUGGGAUAAAAGCUUACCAAGCCGACGAUCUGUAGCUGGUCUGAGAGGACGACCAGCCACACUGGGACUGAGACACGGCCCAGACUCCUACGGGAGGCAGCAGUGGGGAAUUUUGGACAAUGGGCGAAAGCCUGAUCCAGCAAUGCCGCGUGCAGGAUGAAGGCCUUCGGGUUGUAAACUGCUUUUGUACGGAACGAAAAAGCUUCUCCUAAUACGAGAGGCCCAUGACGGUACCGUAAGAAUAAGCACCGGCUAACUACGUGCCAGCAGCCGCGGUAAUACGUAGGGUGCAAGCGUUAAUCGGAAUUACUGGGCGUAAAGCGUGCGCAGGCGGUUAUGUAAGACAGAUGUGAAAUCCCCGGGCUCAACCUGGGAACUGCAUUUGUGACUGCAUGGCUAGAGUACGGUAGAGGGGGAUGGAAUUCCGCGUGUAGCAGUGAAAUGCGUAGAUAUGCGGAGGAACACCGAUGGCGAAGGCAAUCCCCUGG